rnacentral:lncRNA from 1 species
GCUGGAGUCGAUGGAUUUGAUGGAGGAGGGCGUCUCGAUCCAGCUGGAGUCGGACAGGUCCUUGGGCUUGGCGUCCUCGGCGGCGGGCGCCAGCGGCGAGCGCUCGGCCGCCAGGCCCUCGGCCUCCUCGCCCAGAUAGGGGUUGGCGCCGGCCAUGCGCGCGGCGGCCGCGGCGCUGUUGGGCCAGCAGGGGAGCACGGAGCCCGACUUGGCGCCGCAGUACUGCGGGGGGCUGCGCGCGCCCCAGCCCGAAGGGUCGGCGUAGUAGCCGAGCGGGCGGCCCGUGCAGCCCGCGGCCUGCAAGGGCAGCGCCUUCACGCCCGCGGCCGCAUACGACAGCAGCGUGGCCGCGUUGCCGGCGAAGUCCGUGGCCGUGUCGUAGGCCGAGGCCGCGAAGUCCAGCCGGUUGUUGGCCGGCGUGACGAACCAGCGCUGCGGCGACGGCGCGCCCGGGUCCUCGGCCUGCUGCGGGGACAGCAGCCCGUUGGUGUGCGGCACGCUGCGGUCCGUGCCCGGCCCGGGACCCGCGCCGGCGCCCGGGUGGAAGCGGGCCUUGGCGUAGUUGCUCACGAACUGGUCUUGCAGGAAAGAGCCGGCCAUGGCGUAGCGGGCGCCGGGCACGAUCUGCGAGCGCGGAGAGUCGUUGGGCGACGGGGUCAAGCGGUCCAUGUCGCAGCCCGUGUAGAUCCUGGGGGGAGGGAGACAGAGAGAACCGAGGGAUGGCGCGGAGGUCCCUUUGGGGUCCUGGAGGGAAAGCCACCUCUAGUUUUUGCCCACCCGCACACCGACUGUAGGUUGCCGCUGGCCAUACAGUUUGCAGAUGACAGAGGUCACACACCCGCAAGUUCCCUGGCCUGAACUGCACAGAUACCAGUUCACCUCCUAGAACCUGAGCGGGACGAAAAGUGAAGACUGGAGGUCAUCCAUCGUCCCCUGUUCCAUCUAAAUGCACCGGGACCAAGAUGGGGCCUAAAUCCACUUAGCCAGCAGUUGUGCUCACAUGAUGGCUGAGUUAGCCAGACACCAAGGUGCUAUUUGCCCUUUGGGCCUUUCCUCACUGAUAAAUUUCUGAGUGAAAUUUCUAAACAAGUGACCCACUCUCUCCACCCAUUUAAGGCCUCCUGGGUCCAUUGAGUUGUUCAGACAAUUCCUUUUCUUUUUCUGGGUAGUUUAAGAAAUCCCCAGAGGGGAAAUCAGCAUGGGGAGGUUGGGGACCGAUAUGUCCAGGUAAUCUCUCAAAGGCUGACUUCCACUGGCCUUCAGAGCCCGUAGGAUUGCUGCUGGAAUACUUUUUUGUCUUUCCCUUAUGUACGCCCUUUAACUCCCAACUCUACUAAUGCAAGCAAACAAGAAACUACUACUUGGAAGAAAGACUCGUUGAUCAAUAAAAUUCUUUAGAAAGC